rfam:Harpegnathos saltator strain R22 G/1 HarSal_1.0_3.contig693, whole genome shotgun sequence.
CGUCAAGUAGCUCAGUGGUUUAGAGCAGUCGCCCGGCAAGCGAAAGACUCGGGUCCGAUUCCCGGUCUAGCGA